rnacentral:rRNA from 1 species
UACGUAGGGGGCUAGCGUUGUCCGGAAUCAUUGGGCGUAAAGCGCGUGUAGGCGGCUCGGUAAGUCCGCUGUGAAAGUCGGGGGCUCAACCCUCGGAUGCCGGUGGAUACUGUCGGGCUAGAGUACGGAAGAGGCGGGUGGAAUUCCUGGUGUAGCGGUGAAAUGCGCAGAUAUCAGGAGGAACACCAAUUGCGAAGGCAGCUCGCUGGGACGUUACUGACGCUGAGACGCGAAAGCGUGGGGAGCAAACAGG